rnacentral:lncRNA from 10 species
CUCCGCGGCCGUCCCCACCCCUAUCUCCGCGACCCCCACUCCUCCUCGGCUGUUCCCCAACCCUGUCACUGUGCUCCCCUCCCUACUCCCGGCCCGUAGUGGAGGUGACUUUCCUGCGCAGCGCCGCUUCUGAGGGCGGAGAACCCACAGGGAGUGCGACCCCUUUGCACGCUGUGAGUGGGCAACUGUCCGAGGGACUCGAGCCGAUCGAAGGCUGGACGCCCUAUAGGGCUCUUGGCAGUCCACGAAAGACCUGGAGUCCGCCUCCCCAUUUCUCCGGUCGGUGAGUGGCAGGAGGAAAUCGCCAAACAUGUUUUCCCGCUUUGCCUCCCCAACUCGGAAACUUGCAACUUGCCGUGUCCUGGAGGUUGAGACAAUUUGGGGUCUCUUGGCUGCCGUCCAACAGAUUUAUCUCUGAGGGCAGUGUCCUUGGUGAGAGGUCCAAGUAGGUGUGGGCGACAUUGUCCUCCAUCUCAUGAGGGAGCAGCCCUGCACACUAGGGCCCAAAACUCUGCGAAGGAGCUUGGAAGUUCUUCAUCCGUUCCACUUGUUUUGCUACUCCACACACCCUUCUAGGACAUGUUGAUUGCCAACUGCUCUGUGCAGCUUUCCCAUAGCUGUCUGUUCCCGUGCAUUUCGGAGCACCAAGCAAAUACGAGCAGAGAGACCUGGAAAAAAAAAUGAUGAAGACAGUAUUAAUGAUAAAAUUAACAUGGCUGAGUGAAUUGUCAAUGCAAGUUCCUUUACUAACUCUUUGUUAAGUUUUGCUUUGUACUCCUUACAUCCUCUUUCUCUUAAGCCAUUGUUUUAAUUUCUUCUCGUUAUCAUUUUUAAAAGUAACAGAAAUACAGCUUUCUUCCUACCUUCACGAUUGACUUGGUGGAGGUUGGGUUGCAAAGAGGAAGCAGUAAGAAAAAAUAAUUAUUCUAUACAUUCACAAGUCCUUCAAGGCACAAAAUAAAAGUAAGAAAUAGAAAAUAUGUCCUUUCUCCUAAUAAAGGUCUUUAUAAUAAAAUUUAAAUGAAGUUUUGUGUUUCAUAACAGCUUCCCAAAUACUGUUGUAGAUACUAAAAUGUGCCUGUAUGUAUUUCCUUCCACAAUAAUAAUAGUAAUAAUAAACUUUUUUAGGUCCAAAUUAAACAUUUCUCAGCUUAAAUUUCUAUCCUCAAUCCAACAUUUAUUAUAUCAAAACUUGAUUUUUAAAAAUAAAACUUUCUUGGAAUUCAU